AGACUACGUUUCUAAUAUGGU
rnacentral:siRNA from 1 species